rnacentral:rRNA from 1 species
CGACGGGAGGGGAUGGCUCCGCGGCCCAUCAGGUAGACGGCGGGGUGACGGCCCACCGUGCCGACAACGGGUAGCCGGGUUGAGAGACCGACCGGCCAGAUUGGGACCGAGACACGGCCCAGACUCCUACGGGAGGCAGCAGUGGGGAAUCUUGCGCAAUGGGGGGAACCCUGACGCAGCGACGCCGCGUGCGGGACGGAGGCCUUCGGGUCGUAAACCGCUUUCAGCAGGGAAGAGUCAAGACUGUACCUGCAGAAGAAGCCCCGGCUAACUACGUGCCAGCAGCCGCGGUAAUACGUAGGGGGCGAGCGUUAUCCGGAUUCAUUGGGCGUAAAGCGCGCGUAGGCGCCCCGGCAGGCCGGGGGUCGAAGCGGGGGGCUCAACCCCCCGAAGCCCCCGGAACCUCCGCGGCUUGGGUCCGGUAGGGGAGGGUGGAACACCCGGUGUAGCGGUGGAAUGCGCAGAUAUCGGGUGGAACACCGGUGGCGAAGGCGGCCCUCUGGGCCGAGACCGACGCUGAGGCGCGAAAGCUGGGGGAGCGAACAGGAUUAGAUACCCUGGUAGUCCCAGCCGUAAACGAUGGACGCUAGGUGUGGGGGGACGAUCCCCCCGUGCCGCAGCCAACGCAUUAAGCGUCCCGCCUGGGGAGUACGGCCGCAAGGCUAAAACUCAAAGGAAUUGACGGGGGCCCGCACAAGCAGCGGAGCAUGUGGCUUAAUUCGAAGCAACGCGAAGAACCUUACCAGGGCUUGACAUAUGGGUGAAGCGGGGGAGACCCCGUGGCCGAGAGGAGCCCAUACAGGUGGUGCAUGGCUGUCGUCAGCUCGUGUCGUGAGAUGUUGGGUUAAGUCCCGCAACGAGCGCAACCCCCGCCGCGUGUUGCCAUCGGGUGAUGCCGGGAACCCAUGCGGGACCGCCGCCGUCAAGGCGGAGGAGGGCGGGGACGACGUCAAGUCAUCAUGCCCCUUAUGCCCUGGGCUGCACACGUGCUACAAUGGCCGGUACAGAGGGAUGCCACCCCGCGAGGGGGAGCGGAUCCCGGAAAGCCGGCCCCAGUUCGGAUUGGGGGCUGCAACCCGCCCCCAUGAAGUCGGAGUUGCUAGUAAUCGCGGAUCAGCAUGCCGCGGUGAAUGCGUUCCCGGGCCUUGCACA